GGCGGCCCGAGUGGUAACCGUUUUUAUUGGGUUUAAAGGGUCCGUAGCCGGCUUACUAAGUCUCUUGGGAAAUCUGGCGGCUCAAUCGUCAGGCGUCCAAGAGAUACUGGUAGGCUUGGGACCGGGAGAGGUGGGAGGUACUCCAGGGGUAGGGGUGAAAUCUCGUAAUCCUUGGGGGACCACCGAUGGCGAAGGCAUCCCACCAGAACGGGUCCGACGGUGAGGGACGAAAGCUGGGGGCACGAACCG
rnacentral:rRNA from 1 species